GCCGGGCAUGGUGGCGGGUGCCUGUAAUCCCAGCUACUCAGGAGGCUGAGGCAGGAGAAUCGCUCGAACCCGGGAGGCAGAGAUUGCAGUGAGCCGAGAUUGCACCACUGCACUCCAGCCUGGGCGACAGAGCGAGACUCUGUCUCAA
ensembl:misc_RNA Metazoa_SRP Metazoan signal recognition particle RNA